rnacentral:rRNA from 1 species
AAAAAGAAGAGUGGCGAACGGGUGAGUAACACGUGGGUAACCUGCCCAUCAGAAGGGGAUAACACUUGGAAACAGGUGCUAAUACCGUAUAACAAUCAAAACCGCAUGGUUUUGAUUUGAAAGGCGCUUUCGGGUGUCGCUGAUGGGUGGACCCGCGGUGCAUUAGCUAGUUGGUGAGGUAACGGCUCACCAAGGCCACGAUGCAUAGCCGACCUGAGAGGGUGAUCGGCCACAUUGGGACUGAGACACGGCCCAAACUCCUACGGGAGGCAGCAGUAGGGAAUCUUCGGCAAUGGACGAAAGUCUGACCGAGCAACGCCGCGUGAGUGAAGAAGGUUUUCGGAUCGUAAAACUCUGUUGUUAGAGAAGAACAAGGAUGAGAGUAACUGUUCAUCCCUUGACGGUAUCUAACCAGAAAGCCACGGCUAACUACGUGCCAGCAGCCGCGGUAAUACGUAGGUGGCAAGCGUUGUCCGGAUUUAUUGGGCGUAAAGCGAGCGCAGGCGGUUUCUUAAGUCUGAUGUGAAAGCCCCCGGCUCAACCGGGGAGGGUCAUUGGAAACUGGGAGACUUGAGUGCAGAAGAGGAGAGUGGAAUUCCAUGUGUAGCGGUGAAAUGCGUAGAUAUAUGGAGGAACACCAGUGGCGAAGGCGGCUCUCUGGUCUGUAACUGACGCUGAGGCUCGAAAGCGUGGGGAGCAAACAGG